AUUGAACGCUGGCGGCCGGCCUAACACAUGCAAGUCGAACGAGUGGCGGACGGGUGAGUAAUGUCUGGGAAACUGCCUGAUGGAGGGGGAUAACUAAUGGAAACUGUAGCUAAUACCGCAUAACCUCGGAUGUGCCCAGAUGGGAUUGUCUUGUUGGUGGGGUAACGGCUCACCAAGGCGACGCUCCCUAGCUGGUCUGAGAGGAUGACCAGCCACACUGGAACUGAGACACGGUCCCGACUCCUACGGGAGGCAUCAGUGGGGAAUAUGGCACAAUGGGCGCAAGCCUGAUGCAGCCAUGCCGCGUGUAUGAAGAAGGCCUUCGGGUUGUAAAGUACUUUCAGCGGGGAGGCGUUACCCGCAGAAGAAGCACCGGCUAACUCCGUGCCAGCAGCCGCGGUAAUUC
rnacentral:rRNA from 1 species